rnacentral:rRNA from 1 species
AAUGGGCGUAAGCCUGAACCAGCCAAGUAGCGUGAGGGAAGACUGCCCUAUGGGUUGUAAACCUCUUUUGUGCGGGGAUAAAGUGUGGGACGUGUCCCAUAUUGCAGGUACCGCACGAAUAAGGACCGGCUAAUUCCGUGCCAGCAGCCGCGGUAAUACGGAAGGUCCGGGCGUUAUCCGGAUUUAUUGGGUUUAAAGGGAGCGCAGGCCGUCCUUUAAGCGUGCUGUGAAAUGCCGCGGCUUAACCGUGGCACUGCAGCGCGAACUGGAGGACUUGAGUACGCACGAGGUAGGUGGAAUUCGUGGUGUAGCGGUGAAAUGCUUAGAUAUCACGAAGAACUCCGAUUGCGAAGGCAGCUUACCGGAGCGCAACUGACGCUGAGGCUCGAAAGCGCGGGUAUCGAA